rnacentral:rRNA from 1 species
AUGAACGCUGGCGGCGUGCCUAAUCCCUGCAAGUCGAGCGAACAGACGAGGAGCUUGCUCCUCUGACGUUAGCGGCGGACGGGUGAGUAACACGUGGAUAACCUACCUAUAAGACUGGGAUAACUUCGGGAAACCGGAGCUAAUACCGGAUAAUAUAUUGAACCGCAUGGUUCAAUAGUGAAAGACGGUUUUGCUGUCACUUAUAGAUGGAUCCGCGCCGCAUUAGCUAGUUGGUAAGGUAACGGCUUACCAAGGCAACGAUGCGUAGCCGACCUGAGAGGGUGAUCGGCCACACUGGAACUGAGACACGGUCCAGACUCCUACGGGAGGCAGCAGUAGGGAAUCUUCCGCAAUGGGCGAAAGCCUGACGGAGCAACGCCGCGUGAGUGAUGAAGGUCUUCGGAUCGUAAAACUCUGUUAUUAGGGAAGAACAAAUGUGUAAGUAACUAUGCACGUCUUGACGGUACCUAAUCAGAAAGCCACGGCUAACUACGU